rnacentral:tRNA from 1 species
GCCCGGCUAGCUCAGUCGGUAGAGCAUAAGACUCUUAAUCUCAUGGUCGUGGGUUCUAGCCCCACGUUUGGCG